rnacentral:tRNA from 1 species
GCGCCGAUGGCAGAGUGGCUUAUGCAGCGGUCUGCAAAACCGCGUACGGGGGUUCGAUUCCCUCUCGGCGCU